UACAGAGGGGGCAAGCGUUGUUCGGAAUUACUGGGCGUAAAGGGCGCGUAGGCGGCCUGCUAAGUCGAACGUGAAAUCCCUGGGCUCAACCCAGGAACUGCGUCCGAUACUGGUUGGCUUGAAUGCAGGAGAGGAACGCGGAAUUCCAGGUGUAGCGGUGAAAUGCGUAGAUAUCUGGAGGAACACCGGUGGCGAAGGCGGCGUUCUGGACUGCAACUGACACUGAGGAACGAAAGCCAGGGGAGCAAACGGG
rnacentral:rRNA from 1 species